AAAAAGGUUUUUUUAAAACCACAAAGACAUAUAUUUAUAAGAUA
rfam:Megaselia scalaris, Durham, NC isolate 2 -- Noor lab, WGS project CAQQ02000000 data, contig: ctg0000194402